ACUAGUAAUCACACACAGUGCUCAAAUUCUCUAUUGAUUCAGUUAAAUCAGUAGCAGUUGGAGCAUUGGGGGUGAAUAUGACCAAAUACAUUGCAUGAAAUCCUCAAAAGAAUGAAAUAAUGAAAAAUGAGAAAGAACAGGAGACAAGAAUGCUUGCUUUGGAAGCCUGUGAUGUGUGCAGGGCUUAGAUGAAAGCAUGCCUUGUCUCUACAACAGGCCAGUGUCUGAGCUGGGAAAGUCUGAGUAGCUAGCCAGAGAAGAACAGAGGGACUGCUCUGGGUCACUGGGGCCUCAACUUUGGCUAUAGAAUAUGUUCAGGUUGAAGUCACAUUCGCAACAGAUCGUGUGGAGUCUUGCAGAGAUGCGGGAGCUGAUAGAGAGCACAUCCACAAUUAGUCACGUGCUCUGCCUUAUGUGGAAAGCUGGAAAAUAGCUUGUAUUUUUAUGCAUCAUACUAU